UCUGCCUGUGUUGUGUGCUUCUGUUUCUAAAAUUUUGGAUUCUGAAUUUUGAUAAAUCAUUUUUUACAGGUGCUAAUAUACGGUUUCAGCCACAUACUACUCUUGUCUUAGUUUAAUACCUGAUUCUUAAGUGUAUACAUUUGUAAUACAUGGUCUGAUAGUAUGAAUUUUUCAAUGCAGAGCUGAAUGUGAUUCUUCAAUGCAGUUAUUACAUGUCUAUAGUAAAUCUUAUGGAAAGCUGAAUGCGACAGAAACAGGUAUUCAUACUAAAUACUCUUUAGUUUAGUUACUUUUUCAAAUACAAGUUUAGUUCCUUUUUAUAAUUAUGUUUUAUAUGCUGCCUAGCUCUAAAUAUAUGAGAUACUGAGUUUGUGACGCUAAGAGAAUUUUUUACUUUUAUAGAUUCCAAGAGGUUGAUUUGUCGUAGAGUCUCUGAUGCAUUUGUUAAGAGUGAUAGAAGGAUUUAGUAUGAAUACAUUAGGCUAUUAAAAUUAAUGAUAACAUACUACAUUUUUUAGAAUUCAAAGAAUUUACUUGUUUUUAAUGGUGAGAAGACCUGUAGUCUUAGAUCAUGAUAAACUAUUCUUGUGAUAUCAUAAUAGGCUCUGCAGCCGACGAUAUAUGGAUGAUGGAAAAAUGGAAGUAUGCUUAUUCUUUUUCCAUUUAUUUCAUUAUGUUGAUGGGAAAUUUCAUUUCAUUCUAAUGCAAUUGAUUGAAUCCUUACGGUACUCUUCCUUCUUGAAGACUUCAAUUGAUGUGUUACAACUUACAAGUAUAUGUGGGACAAUUUAGUUACUGAUAACUUUCUUUUACUUAUUUUAGCUUAAACCCUUAAAGUAUUCUAUGUGAAGAUCUUAAAGUCCUAAGUGCUGACUCAGAAUUUUCUACUUUGACCCUUGAUGAUGUGGUGAGAUAUUACAGAAAUACAUAUACGAUGUUGUCCCCAGUUAACGAUAAGCUUUUAUUGAGAUAUGAGUAUCCUUUCUUUGCGAAGAUAAAUUUGGAUCGGUUUUUUUAGGAAACUGAAGAGUUUGAUGAUGAAAAUGCUUUAUCAAUAGUGAGAACAAAUUCUCAAGUAGGCACUUUGGCAUCAGAUUUCCCAUCCACAUCAUAUAUAGGAAAGAUUAUAGAGAUCCAAAAACAACACAUCAGGCAUUCUCUAUGAUUUUUUAUAUUGGUUUUGUAGGUUAUGAUAAUUGGAUGGAACAAUGUCCAAUGGAUAUGUGCAGACAGACACUCAUGUGUCUGUAUUGGUUUUGUAGUUUCAUUAUUUUGAAUUAAAUUUGGGAUUGUAUUGAUUGCAGGGUGUUAUAGUGUUGUCGGAGCUCAACCGACAAUGGGAAUUGUUGCAAAAGAUAAUAAGGUUAUAGUGUUGUGGGAGCUCAACCAACAAUGGAGAUUUUUGGUGAUCCUAUGGUGAUUCCAGGACUAGAAAAGAUAAUAAGUUUAAUAGUUAUAUUGGAUUAAGAGUUCUUCUAUGCGUAAAUGCUGCUACUGUUCGUCUUUACUGUGAAAGACUCUACUAUAUUCUUUGCAUAAUAUGCUUGGCGGACUAACACUGGUUUUAUAUGCAGGGAACGUCACACUCAUUGCAUUGCCACUUGAACUGAAAACUACUUACAACACUUUGUACAUAUCUCUAAUUUAGAUUUCACCCUUGAUUUUUGGUUUAACGUACUUAGUACUUUCCAAAUUAGAGACAUGUAUAUACAAAAAGGUAGAGCAAUGGACGGGCAAUUGAGAAAACUUGAUAUUAUGUUGGGAAAGGUUAAGACUGUUGAUCAAAGCACUGAUGGUUCAGCAGAGUAGGAGAAAUAAUAGAUGGUGAAACUUGACUGCUUGUAGAGUAUGUUGUAAUAAAGUAAUUUGCGGAUUUCAGCUUUCGGUUCAAGACUAUUGCAAUUUCAAUCUUGUAAACAAUGUAUUCCUAUAUAAACGUACAUUCUCAUGGUUCAUGAUUUUAGUGUAAAAAGCUUUUGGAGUUAAUAAAUGUCCUGCAAUAAA